rnacentral:rRNA from 1 species
GACGAACGCUGGCGGCGUGGAUUAGGCAUGCAAGUCGAACGGUAUCAUCCUUUCGGGGGUGAGAGAGUGGCGAACUGGUGAGUAACACGUAGGUUAUCUACCCUCAAGACGGGGGACAACCCAGGGAAACUUGGGCUAAUACCGGAUGUGAGCAACUUUUAGUUGUUUGAAAGGUGGCGUAAGCUGUCGCUUGGGGAUGAGCCUGCGUCCUAUUAGUUAGUUGGUGAGGUAACGGCUCACCUAGGCAAUGAUAGGUAGGCGGCCUUAACGGGUGGUCGCCCACACUGGGAUUGAGAUACGGCCCAGACUCCUACGGGAGGCAGCAGUCGAGAAUAGUCUACAAUGGUCGGAAGACUGAUAGUGCGACGCCGCGUGAACGAUGAAUCCCUUCGGGGUUAAAGUUCUUUUAUAUGUGAGCAGUGCUUCUUAUAUUAACAGUAUGGGGAAGAGAUAUUAGCAUAUGAAUAAGCAACGGCUAAACUCCGUGCCCAGCCAGCCGCGGUAAU